UUGUUUCUUACAUUGUUUUUGUUCUUGGUUUCUCUUUAUUUGAAGUACCAUUUUGGCGGUGUACAUGCGAUUUUUCCUGUUCCACCGACAGACCUCCGAGAAACGAUUUCUUGCUUUCUUCAUUCUCGCUUCUGAUGUGUGCUAUUUGGUUAUCGGUACCCUGUUUUUUUUUUCGUUAGGGCUUACGUGGUUUGAAUCGUUCGCAAACACGCAUGAGUUUUUUGCCCUUUCUCUUUUCUUCUCCUCGGUGAAGAAGUGAAGUUGAUUAGCACCUUCCCCCUUGGUGAAGUAAUCUUGAAGCACACCAUGAACAAUUGCAUAUCAAAAUUGCAAAAUCAGGAGAUGGGCACAUCUUAAUUUUGGUCUCUAUAGAUUUUUGAACUUUUCGUUUUGAAUUGCUUCAACGCAUAUGCAACUAGAACUUCUGUUUAUCUACUGAAAUUAUUUAGGGCCUGGAUUAGCUUCGUUGAUAGAAAAGUUGUUCUUUGAGGACUUCAUUUAGUAACCCUUAGGCGUAUCAGGCCAAGGUCCUUAAAAAUUAUGUCAAUUGUGGUUGUAGAUUCAAUUUUAAUGAUGUCCGAAGUUGUCCGGAAGGCACGUUCAAUGGUAGCGGAAUAAAUGAGGUUUAUAGUCAGGAAGGAUGAUCUGAUCUGACAGUGUUUAUUUGUGACUGGCAGGGGAAGUUCUUCCUAGUUCUCCACUGAUGGAGGAGCAAAUCCAGGGAUCAUCAUCUACUGUUCAUCAGCAACCUCAAAAUGAUCUUCAGGAAGAAACGUCCUUCAAUGCCAAUCUCACCGAGACGCCCGCCGUCAAUGUCGUUCGGAAGCUGCUCUUUCGUCGCCUCCUGGUGGGUGUUAAGGACGGCCGCUUCUUCGUUGGCUCCUUCCAUUGCCUUGACAAACAAGGCAUAUGAUUAUCAAGGUGAAGUUGAUUUGUGCAUAUUGACGGUGGCCAUAGAAUUAUGCACCCUUUUGGCUCUGGAAGUUGCCAGACAUGAGUGCCUCCACUGGAUUAAUGUUUGUGAAUGUAGCUGAUUGUUCUUCAAAAUGGAGAGUUCGAUGGUGGCAUGUUCUUGACAUUCUGCUUCCUCUGUUAGAACUCGUUCCAGGUUGAAUCAUGUAACCAAGAUAAUUCUUGUGAAUCCAUGGUGCUGUCUGAUGCACUGAUAAAUGCCAUGGCAUCUAUCAAAUGCUCAGGAUGAAGCACAACUUGGCUGUUUGUACUUGAUCUGCAACGCAAACAAGUUGGGAAGACCUCAGACCAGCAUCAUGCUGUCGCAGCUAGUUCAACUGUGGACUUGUUACUCAUUUUUCACUGACAGAUCUUACGAUACCAUUCUCGGUGUUUCAAGUUUUUCAAGUGAGUUUCUUUUGCAAAUUAUGAUGGAGCCAUGAAGCAGAUGAUUAGACAGGCAAGGCAAAGGUGAAUACUGCUGAAAAUCAAGGGGAUUUUCAUUUUUUAUUGGCAGAAUAAUGUGCAGAUUAUUGCACAAACAAAUAGGAUGCUGUCUAUAUUAUCUUCUAAGUCACUAGACAAUAUAUCGUAGCCUCUCCCAACCUUAGGUCCUCCCAACGAAGACUAUUCCAAUCUCUUUCCUGGAUUGACAAUUGAGGCGGCAUUAAAUUCAGGGGAUUUGGGAGUUUUAUAAGCAAACAUCUGAAUUUUGUUCUUCUCACCAACUUUUCUAGAAUUCAAUGUUCAAUUAUAGCCUUUAGUCCCAAAGGGUCGAUAUGGAAGUAGGAUUCCUUUCUACUGCGCAUUGGGGAAGCCACGUAGAAAUCAUUAUUUGUUGCUUCUUCCAGCUUUCGCAUGAAAUGAGAAAGCCUGCACUAGCACUCAGGAUCAAAGUUUUCAUGACAACGAAAGUUCCUCAGGAAGCAAAAACCUCCUUGCUGUUGGUUCCUUAGGCAUACUUGCUUCUCCUCUGCUGGUCCAGCUUGAGCUACACCUUUUGUAGAGGCCUUGUAAAAGGUAUAGGGAAUGUGUUCACCAUAUAAUUGUCAUGGUUGGUUCUUAAAAGGGUAUGCCUGCAAACUGGAAGCACAAAUACGCGCUACUUGUGGAAUCUUGUGAUUUAUCAUAUGCAUCUUCAAGGAUUGGCAAGACGCAUUAAUUUCUCAACAGUGUGUUUUUAAAGCUAUUUCAUUAUGACCUCCUCCCAAUGUAGUGAUUUAAACACUUCCUGGAUUGCGGAGAUCAGUUGAAUCUGUUUUGUGAUGUAAGCUUCUGCUGAGGCAUCGUUUGUCGAUGGUCUUUUAAGAAAAAUCUUCCUUAUCCAAUAGUUGCAGAAUUCAUGGCUGUAUAGAUGUUGUUGGAUGGUCGUGCUGUAUCUAUGGUGAUUGAACAGACCUGAGGUUUUGUUAUUUGGGGCUUGUUUGAAGAACAGAUGUGUGCAGCCGAACGACAUCCCACUCGAUCAAUGUUCUUCAAUUUAACGUGAUAUGAACACGGUUUUUCUGGUUGGGUAUCCAACUGACAGACCAGAACUCCUGCACUUGGACGUUGCUGGGGUAACCAAGCAUGCCCUUAAAUAUUCCACAAGUAUAUAUGGAUGAGGUAUUAUACUUUCAGCUGUAUACAACAUAUAUUUUAUAUGCAUGUAGUACCGACUGCUGAUAAAAAUGUGGCAGAAACAGAUGCAUGGAGGAUUAAAAUUGUAAGAUGGGACUUCAUAUAUUUCUUCAAAGGAAAUAGUAGGACUAGAAUGGCGCGUAAUGUCACUCAGCCACAACGGAUCCUCACACUUUGGCCCCAAGAGAAGGAUUUUUCUUUUCUUUCGUUCUUUCCUUGGCUUGUUGAUUCAUUGGUUUCUUCCAUGUGCAUUCAAUUAUUUUCUUUUUCUUUCCAUAUGUUGACCUCGAAACUAGGUACCAAUUUGAAAGUUACACUA